AGACCAAUAAACAUGUUUAGUAAAUCAUCUGAUCUGACGAAUGAAUAAGUAAAGGGCAAAUAAGUCAAACAUAUAAUACAUAUGAAAUGAAGAAAGCAAGAUCAGAUUACCUGACUUGGUGCAAAUAUAAUGUUGCAAACAAGGACAAAACAAACACCUCGUUCACUUCCCCUGUUUAACCAAGCGUAAAGGAUGCGAUAAUGUGUGUUUGUUGUAAACUGCGAGUGAAUGAAUACGUUCUAUUAUUUGGCUCUACGCGCGUGUGUGUUUCCGGGGCGUGUUGAUAGCACAUUUGCCCGAAAUAUCAUUUGCUUUAAGGAAAUCAAAUCACAUAUUUAGUGUUCAAAGUAAACUGUGAGGGGUAUUGCUUGAGUGACAUUCAGCGCAGUUGAGUGUAGGUAUCCUACAGCAAGGAGCGGAGUGUGCUGGGAAGAGCAUGAAAGAACAAAAAUGGUCUUUCCUGGUAGAAGGCACAAUCUCGGUUUAUGCGCUCUCCUGCUUUUGAUUUUGACUCCGUUCUUCCAAGGUGCUGUGGAGAUUGUGUGUCCACAGAUAGGCUGCUUGGACUCGCUGGCAAACCUGACCUGCAUUGGCACAGGGAGGACACAUUCUUAUAUUCAGCCAACGAGCGGUGUAGUCACAAUAUGUGACAUGAACACAUCCGAAUGUGCUCCUGAGGCCAUGGUGACCAUACCUAACUCCUCCUACAGUGUUCUCACAGUACCGAUGGUUAACCCGUCACACGCAGGAUACUGGACAUGCUCCAUUGGGGAUAAUGUGUCACAUUGUCUCUUGAUAGUUGCAGAACUUCCAUCAUGUGCUGUACUAAGCAGCCAGUCUGCGCACGAAACAACGGUACGAGUACAACACUACUACUGCUCUGAUUCCAUUGAACUUCAUUUAAAGACUGGAAACUUGACAAGAAGGUUAUUGAACACUACACGUACCAACACUACAGUUGACAUUUGGGAGACCACAGACAAUG